UACGUAGGGUGCAAGCGUUGUCCGGAAUUAUUGGGCGUAAAGAGCGUGUAGGCGGCCCGACCAGUCCGCUGUGAAAGUCCAGGGCUCAACCCUGGAAUGCCGGUGGAUACUGUCGGGCUAGAGUCCGGAAGGGGCGAGUGGAAUUCCUGGUGUAGCGGUGAAAUGCGCAGAUAUCGGGAAGAACACCCGUGGCGAAGGCGGCUCUCUGGGACGGUACUGACGCUGAGACGCGAAAGCGUGGGGAGCGAACAGG
rnacentral:rRNA from 1 species